rnacentral:tRNA from 1 species
CGUUGGACUUCUAAUCCAAAGGUUGCGGGUUCAAGUCCCGCCUAGAGUA